UCAUCUCCGCCCCUCGGGUUCUUUCUUCCCCCUCCAAGAUGGAGGCCUUAGGGGGCUACCCCGCCAAGUCCUCCGGGCCUAGAGUGAAGAAGUUGACGGUUCUGUUGAGCAUGACGGUCGGUGUGGGCUGUUUGUUCCUGCUACAGACGCAGCUGGUGAAGCCCCGAAAACCGAAGGACUUUUAUUCCUUCGAGGUGAAAGACGCCAAAGGGAGGAUUGUUUCUCUGGAGAAGUACAGAGGAAAAGCUUCUCUGGUUGUAAACGUGGCGAGCCACAGCGAGCAGACGGAAGCGGCUUAUAGGUCUCUUCAGGAUCUCCACAGGGAGCUGGGAACGUCUCACUUUAACGUCCUGGCCUUCCCUUGUGGACAGUUUGGCGACACCGAGACCGGAACCAGCCGGGACAUCGAGGCCUUGGCCAAGUCCACAUACGGCGUUACAUUUCCCUUCUUUGGCAAAAUCAAAAUAAUGGGCUCAGAGGCUGAACCGGCCUUCACAUUCCUUACAGAUUCUGUGCAGAAAAUUCCAAAGUGGAACUUUUGGAAAUUUCUAGUGAAUCCUGAGGGGAAAGUGGUCCGCUUCUGGCGAGCUGAUGAGCCCAUGGAGAGCGUUCGCCAAGAAGCUGCGACGCUGGUGCGAGAGCUCAUCGUCAAAAAGCGUGUGGAGCUAUGAUAGCGUUCUAGUCACAGCUUAUUGGACACGAUGUCCGUCCAUCCGUCAUGAUGACCUGGACUGACAGGACUUGAACUGUUAUCGGUUGGACCAUGAAUGCAAACAUUCUCUCUUUAGCCAAUAGAUGCAAUGGUGAUCAUGUUUAUGUGAGCGUGAUCAUUGACUGCAUCUUAUGCUGAAAAAAUGACAAUCGUGCUCAAGACCACUAAUGUUAAGCCACUAAAGUGUUGGAUUUCACCAUGCCCCGUGUCUCUUCUCUGAAACAUCUCAAUGUUUUAUAUUAAAAUGUAUUUCUACAUUGAUGCAAUAUAAUAUGUAAUGUGCUGUUUUCAUAUUGUGGUGGCGGAAGGACCCCUCAGAAACAUACAAGUAUAGAAAUUAUUACCGACUGAUGUCAAUAGUAAGGUGUUUGUAUCAAUCACAAGAAAAUGCAUUUCCCUUUAAAAUUGGUUAAGGUGUACAGCAUUUGUCUAUAAUCCAUGUCUCAUGACCUCUGUUUUGUUGCAGUGCUAUUGACGUCAUGCCAACGAUCAGCCUGCCCUGCAUUACCACUGUACACCACAGGAGGCGACAAUGCAUCGUCGAUUUCCCCCAUGCACGUCUUCUGGAGGAUGGCAGCCCCCUCUGCUUGCUGCACCUGUUGUGUUGUGUGUCCUCUCCUGGACGCACCCCCGCUCUAAAUAGUCCCCCAGGCGCACUGUGCAGCGGGAAGCAGGAAUCCUCUCCUCCUCUGUGAUUGGCAGCCUCCCCGUUUUUUGUUUGAGUGUUUAAUUAAGCGCGUCCCGUGUUGCAGUGGUUCCCUCCGCGUCUUGGUUUCCACUAGUAACAAAUGGAUACAGUUAAAAAAACAAAAAAGAAGAAAGUUGGAUGCCACAAGGACGCUCACUUUGUUGUCAGGUUAAAUUUUGCACCCAUUCAGGGGGGAGCAUUUGUUUGAAACGUUAAGAACAUCCGAUCAAUAUUUUUUAAGUUACGUGAUUGCAGUGCAUUUAAUAGUAAAGCACACAAUAUUGUAUAACUAUAACAAUGUGUACUAAUAUCCCUCUGUCAACAAUAGCAGUGAAUUGCCCCACCUUGCAGGCCGCAGUGGCGCUAAGUGCCGCUAAAAGGCGCGAGUGGAUGCGCGCUUCUGCCACCUGCCACUUCCAUAUGCGCCCACACGCGGCGUGCACCAACGCGGGGGAGUGCGCGCUGGUUGAGUGUUUUUCCAAAUGUGUGCACAAUUUGACGUGUGUCAGAGAAAACCUGGGUCACGCUGGUGCAGGAUUUGUGACGUCACAUCAGCCGUCCGCAAGCCAGAAUAGAUGCAACUGACAAAGCAAAUGGUAGACGUGGAUAUUUGGCGUUUUGCGAGAAGAAUAAUCAUUUAGGGAAAAUAUAAUCCAGCUCCUGUCAUUUAUUAGGCUUCGUAUAAAAAGUGACCUGUAUGAAUCCUACAUUUAAUGUGUCUCGUGAAUUAUUGCUUAUUGAAACUACAUUGGUCCAAUUAGAUUGUUUAUACCUGUGAACUGGAAGCGUGCCAUUUAGUAGACCUCUGUAUCAAACUGCAACUUAUUGAGUAUACACUACCGGUCAAAAGUUUUAGAACACUCCAGUUUCUCUGGAGGAAAAACCUACACCUUUUUAAGUGUUAAGAUGGGCUGUCUCUCUUUCAUAUUAAUUCCAUUUUUUCUUGCCAUUUUUGUAGCAACAGAUUACUUUCUCCAGUACAAUGCGAAUGUUCACGAGGGUAGAGUGCCACGUUUUGUUCCGAAUACAGACGGAGGAGGUAGUGGAGGUAGUGUAUAUGCCAGUAUUUCACGUGAUAUUUUUGUACUAAUUUGUUUGAGGUACCGUUUCCCCAAGUCCUACAAAAUUAAACGUACACAUGUACAGUAAAUGCUGUGUUUCAAAGAUACCGAUAUGUGUUAAAUAUUCACAUAUCCCAGAAGUCUAAUCCAGUCCACUUUCAUUUGGGAAUGUACACGUAAGCACCAAACCCUCCCAAAGUGCCAUAUAACACUCAAGAGACAAUACAAAAGAAAAUUAUUACUACAGUAAUACAAUAAUAGCAAUAAAAAAACGAAUAAAUACACUAUAAAAUACUAAAAAACAGCAUAAGAAGUAGGCUCCUUCAGUAUUAUACUGUUGUAUUUUGAGAAUUAUUCAGACUAAAUUGGUCCACUUCUCCGUUUACUUAAGUUAUACUAUAGUGUAAUUUAUAUAUCAGAGUAUUUCAAACUAAGCACUGUU